rnacentral:rRNA from 1 species
UGGCUCAGGAUGAACGCUGGCGGCGUGCUUAACACAUGCAAGUCGAACGAAGCUCUUUGAACUGAGGAUUCGUCUGAAGUGAUGAGAUGACUUAGUGGCGGACGGGUGAGUAACGCGUGGGUAACCUGCCGUAUGCAGGGGGACAACAGUUGGAAACGACUGCUAAUACCGCAUAAGCGCACGGUAUUGCAUGAUACAGUGUGAAAAGAUUUAUCGGCAUACGAUGGACCCGCGUCUGAUUAGCUAGUUGGUGAGGUAACGGCCCACCAAGGCGACGAUCAGUAGCCGGCCUGAGAGGGUGAACGGCCACAUUGGGACUGAGACACGGCCCAAACUCCUACGGGAGGCAGCAGUGGGGAAUAUUGCACAAUGGGGGAAACCCUGAUGCAGCGACGCCGCGUGAGUGAAGAAGUAUCUCGGUAUGUAAAGCUCUAUCAGCAGGGAAGAAAAUGACGGUACCUGACUAAGAAGCCCCGGCUAACUACGUGCC